GCGGGAGUGGCGGAACUGGCAGACGCGCAGGACUUAGGAUCCUGUGCCGCAAGGCGUGGGGGUUCAAAUCCCUUCUCCCGCACCA
rnacentral:tRNA from 1 species